rnacentral:rRNA from 1 species
GUCGCAAGACAAGCACCGGCGGACGGCUCAGUAACACGUGGACAACCUGCCCUCGGGAGGGGGAUAACCCCGGGAAACUGGGGCUAAACCCCCAUAGGAGAUGGAUACUGGAAUGUUCCAUCUCCGAAAGUCCGCAAGGAGCCCGAGGAUGGGUCUGCGGCGGAUUAGGUAGUUGGUGGGGUAACGGCCUACCAAGCCUAAGAUCCGUACGGGCCAUGGGAGUGGGAGCCCGGAGAUGGACCCUGAGACAAGGGUCCAGGCCCUACGGGGCGCAGCAGGCGCGAAACCUCCGCAAUGCGGGAAACCGCGACGGGGUCAGCCGGAGUGCCGAUGCUUGCAUCGGCUGUCGGGGAGCCUAAAAAGCUCCCCAUAGCAAGGGCCGGGCAAGGCCGGUGGCAGCCGCCGCGGUAAUACCGGCGGCCCGAGUGGCGGUCACUAUUAUUGGGCUUAAAGCGUCCGUAGCCGGGUUGGGAAGUCCUCCGGGAAAUCUGGCCGCUUAACGGUCAGAAUGCCGGAGGAUACUCCCAGCCUAGGGAGCAGGAGAGGCCGAGGGUAUUCCCGGAGUAGGGGUGAAAUCCUAUAAUCCCGGGAGGACCACCU